GAGGUCAGUCAUGUCUCCAAGUUCUCCUGGAGUAGUUUCUACUAUUUAAUAAGCAGGCCUAGGAAAGACUAUCCACCAUUACUGCGAUUUGUUGUCUGAAACAGUGAAUGAAGAUGGCAUCUCCCGCCUGUAUGAAGCUUUUCAAGAAGUGCCUUUGAAAUCUGACAGGACCAGAAGGUACAUCCUCAAUAGACAUUACAAAUGGUUGCAGAAACUUGGAAAUCUCGUGUCAGGUUCUGCAUUCGACUAGGGAACCAGGACCAACACAGAAGACCUCUUCAUCCUGCUAUGGUCCUUUUCUGCAGAACUGCUGCCUAGCCACUCAACAGGUGCACUUCUGAACUGUGGGUCUGCACUGACCAGGGACAACAACUAUGAGGUGGGAUGUUAAGGGUGGGGUAUACUACAGGAACUUUGGAGUUGGACUCAAGAACCUGAAGCAAAAGACACUGCCCAGCGUACACUGGGAAGGGUGUUUUGCUCGUGCUUUUAUGUCUAUGGAUACCGCUUGACUGUUUUCUCAGAUUACUGCUAGGUUACUUUUAUUAAAGAAACUCUACCUCGGACUCUGUGCUUGCGAGAGGGGAAGAAUUGCCUCUUAGAGGCAUCCAGGCGUUACAGUGAAAUUUCCCCAGGUU